rnacentral:rRNA from 1 species
GACAGAGGUGCCGAGCGUUAGGCGGAAUCACUGGGCUUAAAGCGUGUGUAGGCGGGGCGUUAAGUGUCUUGUGAAAUCCCCCGGCUCAACCGGGGAAUGGCUGGGCAUACUGGCGAUCUUGAGCAGUCUAGGGGCAGAUGGAACAAGUGGUGGAGCGGUGAAAUGCGUAGAUAUCACUUGGAACGCCAAAGGUGAAAACAGUCUGCUGGGGACUUGCUGACGCUGAGACACGAAAGCCAGGGGAGCGAACAGG